AGAAUGGAGAGGAGAGGUGGAAUGGAGAGGAGAGUUGAAUGGAGAGGAGAGGUGGAAUGGAGAGGAGAGGUAGAAUGGGAGGAGAGGUGGAAUGGAGAGGAGAGGUAGAAUGGAGAGGUAGAAUGGAGAGGAGAGGUAGAAUGGAGAGGAGAGGUAGAAUGGAGAGGAGAGGUAGAAUGGAGAGGAGAGGUAGAAUGGAGAGGAGAGGUAGAAUGGAGAGGAGAGGUAGAAUGGAGAGGUAGAAUGGAGAGGAGAGGUAGAAUGGAGAGGAGAGGUAGAAUGGAGAGGAGAGCUAGAAUGGGAGGAGAGGUAGAAUGGGAGGAGAGGUGGAAUGGAGAGGAGAGGUAGAAUGGAGAGGAGAGAUGGAGAGGAGAGGUAGAAUGGAG
ensembl:lncRNA